CAAGUCGAUCCCCUUCAUUUCUCUUCUCGCCAUCCUCACUGUCACUCUUAUUUCAUACCAUCAUCGUUUCUUGCCGCCUUGCUGCAAUUGCCUCCAACAUGUUCUCUUUGCCUCUGGUCUUUUUAUUCUCCAAUACAACCUCCACAGUGAUUCUAAAUUGAAUCCAUGUGAUCAGCAUAAAUUUGGAUAAGUUUCUUUCACUUCCAAGCUUUGGUUUUCUCGUUUUUAAAAUCAUGCCUCUUAACUAGAUACUCUCAAAGGGCGAUUCAGCUCUGAAAGUUUCCAAACAUUUCUGUUUGAAAUUGAAUAGUGUUAAUGUUGUUCUACUUUUUCAGCAAAGCCCCAAAGCAGACAAAGUCCUCCAGCCACCUGAGAAAGUCAAUUAUCUUCCAAUCAGUAAACAAUAUAUUUCUUAAUCACUGGCAGAAGCAUUUCCAAUCUUUUAUAAAUAGAAAUCCUUUGGUAACAUAAACAAAAUUGACUGAACCUGGAGAUUGAGCUUUCGGAAAAAAUGAGCAAAUCUCUCAUCUCCUUUGGAAGAUGAGCAUGAUUUUGAAAUGUUUCAUCUGAAGUCAGCUUGUACAUGAAAAUCUCACUUUAAAUGUUAAUGGUACUCUUGCUUGGAGUCUUUCUGCUUAAUCUCUGAAGUCAUCUCAUGUGUUUGUGGGACAGAAUCAACGGAGUCUCAGGGUAAAGUCAUUGAUGACGAGUGGCAGAAAUUCAGCUUGCAGUGAAUGUAAUUUCAAUCUCUUCUUGCUAAACGUAAGCCUUUGUCAUCAGAAUGUCUGAACUGGCCGUGUGUCCCUGGGAAACACAUGCAAAUUCUUAUUGUCUCAGUUUCUGCACCAUGCCUUGGGUCUGUCACUCCUGACUUCCAAGGAGUUCAGAUUGUUUUCACACAUGUUAUCCAGUUUAUGCUCCUGACAUAUGUGUUUCCACUGUAAACACCUAAAAUUCAAGUCUAUCCCUCAAGGUUGGGAUAGAGAAGUUUAUGAAAGUGAAGGUUGAAAGUGUCCAUCAUGCUGCACAGUGAUAGCCAGAAUCAUUCCCU
rnacentral:lncRNA from 10 species